rnacentral:rRNA from 1 species
UACGGAGGGUGCAAACGUUGCUCGGAAUCAUUGGGCGUAAAGCGCACGUAGGCGGCUCGUUAAGUCGGAUGUGAAAGCCCUGGGCUCCACCCAGGAAGUGCAUACGAAACUGGCGAGCUUGAAUAUGGAAGAGGGUCGCGGAAUUCCCGGUGUAGAGGUGAAAUUCGUAGAUAUCGGGAGGAACACCAGUGGCGAAGGCGGCGACCUGGGCCAAUAUUGACGCUGAGGUGCGAAAGCGUGGGGAGCAAACAGG